rnacentral:lncRNA from 1 species
AAUAUUAAUAUUUUUCUCCUUAUUUUUUGGAAAAAGUAAGAUAUUUUUAUUUCGGAAUGAAGCAACAAAACAACAGAGAUUCCUACAGCCACCACACUUUGGAACCCAAUCUAUUCAGUUAGUAAAUAUCACACUUCAUCUGAUAUCACUGAAAGAGUGUUGAAGUAUCUUUUAACAAUGGCUGCCUCCAGGUUCACCAAAAACACUUUGCUGAUCUCCUCUAUGAUUUUCAAUUACCAGAAAGUCUCUUGUGAUAAGAAUUUGGAAAUCCAGUAAGUACUCCAGAUUUCAGGAUUGUAUGACAGAGCCCUUUUUGCAAAUACACACAGAGAAAGAUGCAUUGCUG